GGAGGAGGAGGUGGAUUCCAAGGCUCCUAAUGGGGAUGCUGGCCUUGACCCUGAGAAGGGUCUCCUCCCAGACUGGAGGGAAGUUUGAUGCAAGGGUAGAUGAUACAGGAGUUUGAGUCAGCUCAUAGUUGAUUGCCUCAAUUUUUUUAAUGAUGUAGGAGGUAAAGUGGUGUUCUGAAGGAGAUGGGAGCUGUGGAUGGGGUCUCAGAAAGGGUAAUUUUUGUUUGUUUGUUUAUUUUUACAGACAAGGUCUGGCUCUGGCACCCAGGCUGGAGAGCAGUGGCAUGAUCAUAGCUCACUGUAACCUCAAACUUCUGGGCUCAAGCAGUCCUCCCACCUCAGCCUUCUGAGUAGCUAGGACUACAGUGUGCACCCCUAUGCACAACUAAUUUUUCAUUUAUUUUUUGUAGAGAUAGCAUCUUGCUAUGCUGCCAAGGUUGAUCUCAAACUCCUGGGCUGAAGUGAUCCUCCAGCCUUGGCCUCCAAAAGUGCUAGGAUUACAACAGGCAUGAACCACCAUGCCCAGCUCUUUGUGGGAUUUCAGGAAAGCUAGAAGACUGGAGGGAGCUACUGAGAGGAAUGUGAGAGGGAGCUGACAUGAGACAAUACAAAAUCCCUGGGAUCAUGAAGAUUAAAUAAGUAGCCAUCAAACACUGAAGUAACAGAUCUCAAGUGGCAGAAUUUCAGAUAUUGUAAAGGUUUUAACUUCAGAGAUGCUUUACGGCAAAGGACUUUUGCAAUGUCUCUGAAAUCACACCACCUGAUGGCAACCUUUUCUAAAUAUUCCUAAAGUCAGCACAUACCUUUAAAUACACAUACAGCCCAACAGCUCUGGACCUCUGAAGAGG
rnacentral:lncRNA from 1 species